ACAGGACGGAAAGACCCCGUGGAGCUUUACUGCAACCUGAUAUGGAAUGUUUGUACCGCUUGUACAGGAUAGGUAGGAGCCGAAGAGACGUGUGCGCUAGCAUACGGGGAGGCAAUGGUGGGAUACUCCCCUGGCUGUAUGACCAUUCUAACCCGCCACGCUUAGCGCGUGGGGAGACAGUGUCAGGUGGGCAGUUUGACUGGGGCGGUCGCCUCCUAAAGAGUAACGGAGGCGCCCAAAGGUUCCCUCAGAAUG
rnacentral:rRNA from 1 species